rnacentral:lncRNA from 1 species
ACAGAAUAUCCAAGUGUAAAGCACAUGAGAAGAAAGAAAGAACCAUUGGAAACUUGAACAAAUUAAAAGCAUAGGACAACACAAUAAUAAGUGCAUAUAUCUAUUAUUGUACUCUAUUAAUGGAACACACUAAAGAUAGUAACACUGGGUUGAAAGAUUGGUACACAAAUUCAUCCUAUUCUUAGUAGUAUCUUGAUGGAGUUGAAUUCUUAAUAAUCAGAUACUGGUAACAAAAAAAAAAAACCAAAAAGACAAUAGCAUGAUCAGGAAUGAGAUAACUUGCACCUUACUCAAAAGAAGAGAAAAGAGCCUCUAAUUAACUGCAUGAAAAAACAGAACACUACAAGAGUUUGAAACAUGUGAUCAAUUGUGAAGAGGGUUUGGUCCAGAAGGAACAACCCUGUGAGAAACUGCAUGAAUAUGCUUCAACUUGUUCUUCUUUGAGUUCUUCUUCAAAGAGGAUAAAACUGCUGAAUAACUCUCCACAAACAUAGAAGAAGAAUAAUGUUUGGAUUUGGACCAUGUUUCUGAUCUCAUUUCUCCAUGACCAUCAACUUUCACUAAGUUAUUAUUAUUAGCAUGGUUGACUACACGAGAAGUAGCUGAACCUUGCAUUAGUGUGAAUAACAGAAUGAUGAUGAGAUGAAGAAAAAGGACUAAUAGGGAUUUUGAAGCUAUCAUAAUUGUGAUGAUGAUGAAUGGAUAGAAAAUCACUGAUGAAAUAUUAAUGUGUCAUUGAAAAUAAUUGUGGCAUUUUUUCUUUAAAAGUCUAAGGAAGGUUGUUUAGUCUAGCAAGUAAGAGACUACGGUCUACCGCAAUAAAAAACGAUAAUAUUAGAGAGACAAAAAAAAAUAAUUAAUCUAAAUUGUUUAAAUUUAUUUUAUUUAAUAUUUAUUUAUUAUAGAAUAUAUUAAAUAAAACGGAAAAAAUAAAAUUUGAUAAUUUUUUGUUAAAUUUUUUUUGUUAUCAAAUAUUUUAUAACCAUGAAUAUGAAAUAUUGAAGCAAAUUUAACAUAAAGUCAUAUAGAUAUGCAUAUCUCUUCGUUAUAUUAAUUAUUUGGCGUGGUAUUAGAAAUUUC